GUGGGGAAUAUUGGACAAUGGGCGAAAGCCUGAUCCAGCCAUGCCGCGUGUGUGAAGAAGGUCUUCGGAUUGUAAAGCACUUUAAGUUGGGAGGAAGGGCAGUAAGUUAAUACCUUGCUGUUUUGACGUUACCGACAGAAUAAGCACCGGCUAACUUCGUGCCAGCAGCCGCGGUAAUACGAAGGGUGCAAGCGUUAAUCGGAAUUACUGGGCGUAACGCGCGCGUAGGUGGUUUUGUAAGUUGGAGGUGAAAUCCCCGGGCUCAACCUGGGAACUGCCUCCAAAACUGCAUGAUUAGAGUACGGUAGGGGGUAGUGGAAUUUCCUGUGUAGCGGUGAAAUGCGUAGAUAUAGGAAGGAACACCAGUGGCGAAGGCGACUACCUGGACUGAUACUGACACUGAGGUGCGAAAGCGUGGGGAGCAAACAGGAUUAGAAACCCCUGUAGUCC
rnacentral:rRNA from 1 species